GACGAACGCUGGCGGCGUGCCUAAUACAUGCAAGUUGAGCGCUGAAGGUUGGUACUUGUACCAACUGGAUGAGCAGCGAACGGGUGAGUAACGCGUGGGGAAUCUGCCUUUGAGCGGGGGACAACAUUUGGAAACGAAUGCUAAUACCGCAUAAAAACUUUAAACACAAGUUUUAAGUUUGAAAGAUGCAAUUGCAUCACUCAAAGAUGAUCCCGCGUUGUAUUAGCUAGUUGGUGAGGUAAAGGCUCACCAAGGCGAUGAUACAUAGCCGACCUGAGAGGGUGAUCGGCCACAUUGGGACUGAGACACGGCCCAAACCCCUACGGGAGGCAGCAGUAGGGAAUCUUCGGCAAUGGACGAAAGUCUGACCGAGCAACGCCGCGUGAGUGAAGAAGGUUUUCGGAUCGUAAAACUCUGUUGGUAGAGAAGAACGUUGGUGAGAGUGGAAAGCUCAUCAAGGGACGGUAACUACCCAGAAAGGGACGGCUAACUACGUG
rnacentral:rRNA from 1 species